rnacentral:misc_RNA from 1 species
GUCAAAACUAACAAGAUGGACAAUAUUAUAGUCAGAAUGCCACAAAAGAAGUACUGAGUAAAUGAAAAGUUUUCUUAACCGACUCAUUCCUCAAAAACCUAAUGUAAAAUAUAUCAUAGCUUAAAAGCACCUCUAGCAAGUAUCAACCCAAGACCAUCAUAUCCUUCUCUUUAACCCUAAAAGAGCAUCCUUCAGUAAGUUUUGCACGGCCACCGGUUGGCUGGCAUAGCACUUGCUGGCAAUUGGGGCAUGUAACCACGGUUUGCGAGUGGCUGAAAAUUGUUGUUAUUUGGAAGCAGCCUUGGCAUUUGACAUCCAGAAAAGUAGAAUUAGGUGAUUGGACCAAACGCUUAAGCUUGUGCUUUUGCUUCUCAAGCUCAGCAGGAGGGUGAAGCAAGUCAGUGUCAUUUGAAAUCUUUGGAAUACCCAUAUUGCCUUGAAGCUUU